CUCUCGCUGGCGGGGCGUAGAGUCCUUGUGAGAUGCGUCCUCUCCGUCGUGCCAACCUUUGCCAUAUCUGUGUUGCGGAAGCCGAAGAAGUUUUUAAAGGAGAUCGACAAGGUCAGGCGACGUUUCUUGUGGACGCAAGACGAAGAGAUCAGCGGCGGAAAGUGCAAGGUUGCAUGGAGGACAGUGACCACACUAGAGGCCAAGGGCGGACUGGGCAUCCAUGACCUCUCAGCCUUCGCCCGAGACCUGCGUCUACGCUGGCUCUGGCUAAGUUGGGAUGAC
rnacentral:rRNA from 1 species